rnacentral:rRNA from 1 species
ACUCCUACGGGAGGCAGCAGUGGGGAAUAUUGCACAAUGGGGGAAACCCUGAUGCAGCCAUGCCGCGUGUGUGAAGAAGGCCUUCGGGUUGUAAAGCACUUCAGUAGGGAGGAAGGUAGUGUAGUUAACACCUGCACUAUUUGACGUUACCUACAGAAGAAGCACCGGCUAACUCCGUGCCAGCAGCCGCGGUAAUACGGAGGGUGCGAGCGUUAAUCGGAAUUACUGGGCGUAAAGCGCAUGCAGGCGGCCUGUUAAGUCAGAUGUGAAAGCCCGGGGCUUAACCUCGGAAUUGCAUUUGAAACUGGCAGGCUAGAGUCUUGUAGAGGGGGGUAGAAUUUCAGGUGUAGCGGUGAAAUGCGUAGAGAUCUGAAGGAAUACCAGUGGCGAAGGCGGCCCCCUGGACAAAGACUGACGCUCAGAUGCGAAAGCGUGGGGAGCAAACAGGAUUAGAUACCCUGGUAGCACA